rnacentral:rRNA from 1 species
AGCGGCAACAGCUCAAAUUUGAAAUCUGGCUCCUUCGGGGUCCGAGUUGUAAUUUGCAGAGGAUGCUUCGGCGAGAGCUCCGGUCUAAGUUCCUUGGAACAGGACGUCACAGAGGGUGAGAAUCCCGUACGUGACCGGCCGCUCGAGCCAUGUGAAGCUCCUUCGACGAGUCGAGUUGUUUGGGAAUGCAGCUCUAAAUGGGAGGUAAAUUUCUUCUAAAGCUAAAUAUUGGCCGGAGACCGAUAGCGCACAAGUAGAGUGAUCGAAAGAUGAAAAGCACUUUGGAAAGAGAGUUAAAAAGUACGUGAAAUUGUUGAAAGGGAAGCGCUUGCAACCAGACUUGCCCGCGGUUGCUCAUCCGUCCUUCUGGGCGGUGCACUCUUCCGCGGUCAGGCCAGCAUCAGUUCGGGCGGCUGGAUAAAGGCCCCGGGAAUGUAGCUCUCUUCGGGGAGUGUUAUAGCCCGGGGUGGAAUGCAGCCCGUCCGGACUGAGGUCCGCGCUUCGGCCAGGAUGCUGGCGUAAUGGUUGUAAGCGGCCCGUCUUGAAACACGGACCAAGGAGUCUAACAUCUAUGCGAGUGUUUGGGUGUCAAACCCAUGCGCGUAAUGAAAGUGAACGGAGGUGGGAACCCCUCGGGGUGCACCAUCGACCGAUCCUGAUGUCUUCGGAUGGAUUUGAGUAAGAGCAUAGCUGUUGGGACCCGAAAGAUGGUGAACUAUGCCUGAAUAGGGUGAAGCCAGAGGAAACUCUGGUGGAGGCUCGCAGCGGUUCUGACGUGCAAAUCGAUCGUCAAAUUUGGGUAUAGGGGCGAAAGACUAAUCGAACCAUCUAGUAGCUGGU